rnacentral:lncRNA from 1 species
UGAGGAGUCCCAUUAUUUCUGUUCAAACUGUUCCACUUCGCAUGGAAUGAAUAUUCAUCAGGCUCAUGAGGGAAUGAAAGUAUAAAAGUAUAUCUAUAGCUGGGUUGUUAGGAUGCUCAGCAGGGAAGGUGGGUGAGUUGUAUGAAGGGAUACAUAAGGUGAGUCCUUGCUUGAAUUCUUGCAACAAAAGCAAGAAAACACUCCCUCAAGCAAGAGCACCCCCACCCCCCCACCCAGGUGAGUCAGAUGAGUGCAUGAGCGUAUAAACCACUUUUUUUUUUUUUUUUUUUUUUUUUUUUUUUUUUUUAUUACAUCACUUGUGUGUGUCCAGAAGAACAACUUCAGCAGAAGUGCUUUUUCAGGCAGGGUAAUAGUGGAUCUUCCACUUCCUAUCUGAGUGCUCUCAGGUAGUGGAUGUGUGCAGGAAGAAAGGCUUCUUAUCCUCCCACCGUGCAAGUUAAAUAAGCAAUACAGUCUAAGCAUGUCCUGAAUUACCUGGCCAGGAAUGAAUCCCACCAAGCUUGUUGUGAAAUUAUUUGGAAAGAUGUUGACAAGGUAGUCUGAACAGGACACUCAUAUGUGCAGGACCAGAACCAGGAAACAGAAUCAGGAAACAUUUGUCAACAUUAUGAAAAGGAUGCACUAUGGAGGUUCCUUGUCCUAAAAACACAGAAACAUGGACCCGGAAAGGACUACAGGAAGCUGACCUGCCCAGGCUUAGAGUUGUCCCGACCAGCUUUUGGGGAUGUCUGAUUUUUCAGACUCAUUUGACUUCUGGUUCUGAACUUGUCACCAAAGAAGCUGAAGCCCAAUGCCAAUACUAUUAGUGAAGAUCUACAUUCAUUGUCAUGACUCAUAUGACCUAGAGUGGGCCUCUACAGUCAACUGGGAGUAUUGGCAAGUAUUCCUUCUGACCUGGACUCUGUCCCCUGUGUUCCCAGAACCUCAUAGUCACUUCAUUAGUGCCCACAUGGAUGAGUAACGUGAAUAGCAUGAGUCACAGUCAGGGACUGGAUAUGCCCCAACAGUCUUUCCACUGUGCCUAAGGUUUUGGAUUAGUAAAGAAGCCUAUGUCCUGGCAGGAAGGUCAGACUGGCAGAUGGAUGUCUCUGGCCCCAUUACAAGAGUCUCUAAUCAUCCACUCAGAAGUUUAUUGCUGGAGCAGCACAACAAAUAACAGGAUUGUAUAUUACUGAAGAGCUGGGCUGAAAUGUAUUUGUCUUGAAACAAAAAAACAAACAAACAAAGCAAAGCAAAACAAAAAACAAAAAGAACAACAACAACAACAACAAAAAUCAGUAUUUAUCCCUCCUAAAAGAUGUUUACUUUUCUUCCCUACUGGGGUCAAUGGGGAACCUCUGGCUUCUUAUUUCACUAGGCACAGGACCUGAUUCUUAAACAAACCAAAAGUUUUUGUGAUUACUGACUUGGAAACUGAGGGACUGGUCAAAAUACUUUCAACUUCUCUUGUAACUUGAUUUUGAUACUUGGCAGAAAUUUAAGAAAUACUCUUACUUCUUCUUCUCCUAUUUAACGGAUUGCUUCAGCAUUUUUCCUCUUUCACAGCAGGUUUUUUGGUUGUGAAACUCUGUAAAACUCACCUAACUAUAAUGGAGAGUUUUAAAUGAUCUGUUCAGACAGAUUUUUAGAAUGUAAUACAAGCAUAUAUUUCUGAACAUCAAUGCAAUAGUAGAAUGGAGAAAAAAAAACAUUUAACACUACUCACUGUGUACAUUUCUCAUCAUUAAACAGUUGAAAUCCACAUGUCAGCUAUGAUGCAAUUCUGUAAUAGUGCCUCUUCUUUUUCUCAUAUACAUAUGUUAUGAA